CCUACGGGAGGCAGCAGUGGGGAAUUUUGGACAAUNGGGGCAACCCUAUCCAGCAAUGCCGCGUGAGUGAAGAAGGCCUUCGGGUUGUAAAGCUCUUUUGUCAGGGAAAAACCGGUGGAGCUAAUAUCACUACUAAUGACGGUACCUGAAGAAUAAGCACCGGCUAACUACGUGCCAGCAGCCGCGGUAAU
rnacentral:rRNA from 1 species